rnacentral:rRNA from 1 species
CGGGCUUCACUCCCAACCCAAUGUGAACGUUACCAAACUGUUGCCUCGGCGGGAUCUCUGCCCCGGGUGCGUCGCAGCCCCGGACCAAGGCGCCCGCCGGAGGACCAACCAAAACUCUUAUUGUAUACCCCCUCGCGGGUUUUUUUUAUAAUCUGAGCCUUCUCGGCGCCUCUCGUAGGCGUUUCGAAAAUGAAUCAAAACUUUCAACAACGGAUCUCUUGGUUCUGGCAUCGAUGAAGAACGCAGCGAAAUGCGAUAAGUAAUGUGAAUUGCAGAAUUCAGUGAAUCAUCGAAUCUUUGAACGCACAUUGCGCCCGCCAGUAUUCUGGCGGGCAUGCCUGUCCGAGCGUCAUUUCAACCCUCGAACCCCUCCGGGGGGUCGGCGUUGGGGAUCGGCCCUGCCUUGGCGGUGGCCGUCUCCGAAAUACAGUGGCGGUCUCGCCGCAGCCUCUCCUGCGCAGUAGUUUGCACACUCGCAUCGGGAGCGCGGCGCGUCCACAGCCGUUAAACACCCAACUUCUGAAAUGUUGACCUCGGAUCAGGUAGGAAUACCCGCUGAACUUAAGCAUAUCAAUAAGCGGAGGAA